rnacentral:rRNA from 1 species
CCUACGGGUGGCAGCAGUGGGGAAUAUUGCGCAAUGGGCGAAAGCCUGAUGCAGCGACGCCGCGUGAGGGAUGAAGGUCUUCGGAUCGUAAACCUCUGUCAGCAGGGAAGAACGGUCACUGUGCUAAUCAGCAGUGAAUUGACGGUAACUGCAAAGGAAGCACCGGCUAACUCCGUGCCAGCAGCCGCGGUAAUACGGAGGUUGCGAGCGUUAAUCGGAAUUACUGGGCGUAAAGCGCUCGUAGGAGGUAUGGCAAGUCACGGGUGAAAUCCCCGCGCUCAACGUGGGAACUGCCUUUGAAACUGGCAAACUGGAGUGUGUGAGAGGAUAGUGGAAUUCCAGGUGUAGGAGUGAAAUCCGUAGAUAUCUGGAGGAACAUCAGUGGCGAAGGCGACUAUCUGGAACAUAACUGACGCUGAGGAGCGAAAGCGUGGGUAGCAAACAGGAUUAGAUACCCCAGUAGUC